rnacentral:misc_RNA from 1 species
GUAGGUGAACCUGCGGAAGGAUCAUUGGAAGAGUGGGGAGAGAGAUGAGGGGAGAGUUGGAAUGGGGGAGAAUACAACAUACAAUAAAUUACAACUACAUAUACAACUGCUGACAAUGGAUCUCUGGGCUCUU